rnacentral:snRNA from 1 species
AUACUUACCUGGCAUGGGAGAGAUAUCAUGAUAAUGAAGGUAGUUUUCCCAAGUUUUGGCUUAUCCAUUGCACUCUGGAAGUGCUGACCUCUGCAAUUUUCUCAAAGUCGGAAACUCCACUGCAUAAUUUAUGGUAGUGAGAGAGUGUGUUUGCACUUUCCUCUGG